UCGUCUGAAACCUGGAAAAUGCUGGGCCUUUCCAGGUUUCCAGGGACGUUUGGGCGUCUCACUUUCACACCCAGCCACCAUCAGACAUGUGUCCCUGGGUCACAUUGCUAAGACUGUGUCCCCAACGUCCUCUGUCUCUAGUGCUCCCAAAGAAUUUUCUGUAUAUGGAGCAAAGAAUUUAGAAGAUGAGGAAACUCAUUUGGGAACUUUCCAAUACGAUGAAGAUGGAGACCAAAUACAGACCUUCAAACUUCCUGCCGAUAAAGUUGGUUCCUUCCGUCAUGUGACUCUAAAGGUGAACAGCAACUGGGGUCAUCCGGACUACACCUGCCUCUAUAACUUUAGAGUGCAUGGAGAAAUUGCAAAA